CAAGCUGCUUCCUCUUAGGAGGAGUUCCCAGCUCUCCUGGGGGAGCAAUGAAGGAGCAAAGUUUCCAGUUGCAGCCUGGCCUGCAGCCCAGCAGGCCUGGCCCCGCCUCCUUGGUUCCUCCUUCUAGGGAAGGGCUGGGGAGGAGGGGGUGGUGACACGGUGGAGGCACUGGCGGGCCAGGGGGGCCUGCCCUUGGGACAGGUCCAGACCCAUGGAGCCCCCUGGGAGGAGCAGCAGGUAGGAACCUGGGUCCCAUAGCCUGAUCCCCUUUCUCCCUGCCCAGGCCCAGACCCA
rnacentral:lncRNA from 1 species